rnacentral:rRNA from 1 species
UACGUAGGGCGCAAGCGUUGUCCGGAAUUAUUGGGCGUAAAGAGCUCGUAGGCGGCCUGUUGCGUCCGCUGUGAAAUCCCGGGGCUCAACCCCGGGCCUGCAGUGGAUACGGGCUGGCUGGAGGCAGGCAGGGGAGAACGGAAUCCUGGUGUAGCGGUGAAAUGCGCAGAUAUCAGGAGGAACACCGGUGGCGAAGGCGGUUCUCUGGGCCUGUUCUGACGCUGGAGGAGCGAAAGCGUGGGGAGCGAACAGG